rnacentral:rRNA from 1 species
CCUACGGGUGGCAGCAGUGGGGAAUAUUGGGCAAUGGGCGAAAGCCUGACCCAGCAACGCCGCGUGAAGGAAGAAGGCUUUCGGGUUGUAAACUUCUUUUGACAGGGAAGAGCAGAAGAAGGUACCUGUCGAAUAAGCCACGGCUAACUACGUGCCAGCAGCCUCGGUAAUACGUAGGUGGCAAGCGUUGUCCGUAUUUACUGGGAGUAAUGGGCGUGUAGUCUGGCUGACAAGGCAUAUGUGAACUCCGGGGGCUCAACCCCCGAACUGCAUUUGAAACUGUUAGUCUUGAGUAUCGGAGAGGCAGGCGGAAUUCCUAGUGUAGCGGUGAAAUGCGUAGAUAUUAGGAGGAACACCAGUGGCGAAGGCGGCCUGCUGGACGACAACUGACGGUGAGGGGCGAAAGCGUGGGGAGCAAACAGGAUUAGAUACCCUAGUAGUC